CAUUUAGGAUUGGAAAGGAACAUUUUGAGGAUUUCUUUUUUCUGUUUGUUUUUUUCAGGGUUUUUUUGAAGGAUAAGAAAAAAAUAUGUGUGGAUCCAAAGAGUAAAUGGGUAGAGAAUGCCCUAAGUAAUUUACUAAGAUUGUCAGGUGCCCCAGCAAGAAAUCCCGCUAGACUCUUGCUCAACAUGUAAGAUCGCCUGAGCUCAUCUUCCUUUGCAUUAAGAAUUCUCACUUCUUUUACUAAUUUUUUUUAAAAUUCCAAUGAAAGGCUCUUUCUAGUCACUUUUUCCUAGAAACAAAUUGCCAAAAUGACCUUUCUGAAGCAAUUCAGCAACACAUUGGCUUCUCUCUAGGAAGCAACCUACUGCUUGAUAUACAUAUACUUAGUCAACAUUAGUAAAUAAGUUUGCUAAAAAUAUUUAAAGGUUCUUUCAUAUCAAUCUUAACCAGUAGGAGAAGUAAGGCUGACCAUGCAAGAACCCUAGUUCUCACACAAAGACUUUCCUCUAAAUGGAAGCAUAGCUUAGAUAUCAAAUUGGAGCAACUGGCAUGAGUUAGGAAGGGAAGCAAGGAAUCUUUUCUUCACCUGUGGGUUUCUGAAAUUACAAAGCUGCCCAGGAAAUUCACAUAAUCUUAAUUGGAUUGUCCAGACAAAGUCAUGAGCAAUUGAACCUCUUGAGCACAUACAAGGUUAAAAAGAUUGGGACUUGUCAACCCUAAAAAUUCCCUCCACCUUAGUAAACUGUAACAAAGGAAAGCCAAAUGAUGGUGUGUGUCAUGCUGUUGACAUUGAUAUUAUGCCAAAGGAUGUGUGGGUAAAACACAGUGACUCUGCAGACAGUAGAUUUGCAAUGAAAUGAUGGUUACCCUCUGUGUAACCCUAAAUAAGUCACUGAGCCUUUGUGGCAUUAAAUCCCUCAUCUCUAAAAUGCAAGGAAUUGGAUGAAAUAGCCCCCAAAGUCUUUUCCAAGCCUCCACCUAGCAUCCUUCAAAGAAACACCCCAGAAUUAAACCCAGAGCCAUCAGAAUUAUUUAUAGCUAAGCUUGUCUUAGAGAUCUCUUGCCUUCUAUGAUGUGCUACAUACCAAGGAGUAGACAAUUCAGAACAUAAAUGUAUGUUUUCUAAAGUGUACCACUCAUGUACUGUUCUUCAAUAAACACAAACAGAU
rnacentral:lncRNA from 1 species